rnacentral:rRNA from 1 species
AGUGAACGCUGGCGGUAGGCCUAACACAUGCAAGUCGAACGGCAGCACAGUAAGAGCUUGCUCUUACGGGUGGCGAGUGGCGGACGGGUGAGGAAUACAUCGGAAUCUACUUUUUCGUGGGGGAUAACGUAGGGAAACUUACGCUAAUACCGCAUACGACCUACGGGUGAAAGCAGGGGAUCUUUGGACCUUGCGCGAUUGAAUGAGCCGAUGUCGGAUUAGCUGGUUGGCUGGGUAAUGGCCCACCAAGGCGACGAUCCGUAGCUGGUCUGAGAGGAUGAUCAGCCACACUGGAACUAAGACACGGUCCAGACUCCUACGGGAGGCAGCAGUGGGGAAUAUUGGACAAUGGGCGCAAGCCUGAUCCAGCCAUACCGCGUGGGUGAAGAAGGCCUUCGGGUUGUAAAGCCCUUUUGUUGGGAAAGAAAAGCAGCAGGUUAAUACCCCGCUGUUCUGACGGUACCCAAAGAAUAAGCACCGGCUAACUUCGUG